GAUGAAGAACGUAGCGAAAUGCGAUAAGUAGUGUGAAUUGCAGAAUUCAGUGAAACAUCGAAUCUUUGAACGCACAUUGCGCCCUUUGGUAUUCCUUAGGGCAUGCCUGUUCGAGCGUCAUUUAAACCUUCAAGCUCAGCUUGGUGUUGGGUGACUGUCCGCCGCCUCCGGGCGGUCGGACUCGCCUCAAAUUGAUUGGCGGCCGGUACUUUGGCUUCGAGCGCAGCAGAAACGCGAACUCGAGGCCGUCGUCCUGGCUCCCAGAAGCUAUCUUCACAAUUUUGACCUCGGAUCAGGUAGGGAUACCCGCUGAACUUAAGCAUAUCAAUAAGCGGAGGA
rnacentral:misc_RNA from 1 species